UCAUAAAAAAUUGAAUUCGAAAAGGCCAUUAUGUGAUGCUUUACAUUUUCCAAAAGAAGAAAUAUUUUACUUUAUACGUGCAUGUAGAGGGAUGUCUGAAAAGUUACCACAUGUAUUAACUGGCUUUUGGCUGCCAAGCGCUCCUAACGACGUAGUUUUUUGAUCCUUCGAUGUUGGCUCUUUCCAUCAUUGGGACGCAGAAGUCUGAAAGUAUCGGAUUGUUCACCUGCUAAAAGGGAACAUGAGCUGGGUUUAGACCGUCGUGAGACAAGUUAAUUUUACCCUACUGAUGAAUUUGCUAUUAUUUCAUUAUACAUGUAGUACUGUGACAGUAAUACAGCUUGGUAUGAGAGGAUUAGAUGGUGCAGCAAUUGGUGGACAAGCCAGCGUUGCGAAGUUAAGUAUGUUGGAUAAUGGCCGAACGCCUCUUAAGCCAGAACAAGAACCCAUGCUGAUUAAACAAUAUCAUUGUGAUAUUUUUUUGUAACAAUUUUUUUACCGUCGAUGUGAAAGAGAAAUUAUAUGUGCAGACUGUGUAAAAACGAAGAGGUGUAUUAUUAAUCCCAUUAACAUAGUACUACUUUGUGUUUUUUCUUCGAAAUCUGCGCAAAAACAAAGUUAAAAUUGCAUUUUAACAACAAGAAAGAUUAUCUGUGUUUGUAGACGACUAACAUCUUCCCGGGGUGCUGUAAACAUGAAAGUAAACUUUGUUUUACGAUCUUUUGAGGUUUAUUCUCAGUGAUAUAAG